AGAAAUUUAGGUUAAAUAAGACCAAGAGCCUUCAAAGCUCUUAGUAAGCAAGCUACUUAAUUUCUG
rnacentral:tRNA from 1 species